CUCCCCCCCCCCUGCUCACUCUCAAACCUUCAGGUGAUUUGAACUAAAAACAGAAAGAGAGAGAGAGUCUCUCAAGCUCUUCAAAACUUCAGCCCCCAAACUUCAGCCGCAGCCGCAGCAGCGAGAAAGACCUUUCAACACAGAGCUGCCGCGGGGGAGGGACCCAACUUUGGAUCUGAAGCCUCCACAGUUUCAGAAACACACUACUUUUCUAUAGGACCCGAGCCUUACUCAAUGAAUGGUCCCCUGACAUGUUCACCGUACACCUUCCAACUUCUGCAACAAAUGACGCAGGAGUCUUGCAGACAACAGUCUCAUUCACUACACAACAACCCUGAUUCAUUCCCAGAGCACUAUCCAUCCAUCCUGCACACCAAACAAGACGGAGAUCUUGUGGAAAAUAAUAUACCAGUGUAGCUCAGUGUCUCUGGAUAGAGUUCCAUGACUACACAAACUUCCUCCACUGCAAAUAUAUUCUGCCAUCUGCUCCACUGUCAUUGACUUCCACCUCUCCACCAACUGCAGCUCUGCUCCCUCUGUCUCCAUACAGAAUAUGGCUGACUUCUUCAAAGACU